rnacentral:rRNA from 1 species
UACGUAGGUGGCAAGCGUUGUCCGGAAUCACUGGGCGUAAAGCGCGCGCAGGCGGCCAUUUAAGUCUGGGGUGAAAGCCCGAAGCUCAACUUCGGGACUGCCUUGGAUACUGGGUGGCUUGAGCAUCAGAGAGGCAAGGGGAAUUCCACGUGUAGCGGUGAAAUGCGUAGAGAUGUGGAGGAACACCAGUGGCGAAGGCGCCUUGCUGGCUGAUUGCUGACGCUGAGGCGCGAAAGCGUGGGGAGCAAACAGG